ensembl:lincRNA
CCCCUCGCUCCUGCAUCAUCGACAAGGACGAGCUGAAGGACGGCCUGCGUGUGCUCAUCCCCAUGGACGACAAGCUGCUGUAGGCUGGGCACGUGCAGACCGUGCACUCGCCAGACAUGUGAGUGGGGUGGGAAGUCCAGCGCAGAGCCCCGUGUCCCAUACCCUCCCCGUGUCCCAUACCCGCCCCGUGUCCCAGCCGCCUCUGUGCCUGGCUGCUUCUCCUUUCUGGGCUGUGGCUUCCCCCGAAGGCACAGGGCAGGGGCAUGAGUGGGCUCAGAGCUGACUGGGAGGCCCUGGGCACUUUGAGGGAGUACCGGGUGAACCCUCCCACGGGCUGGGCACGGCUGCUCCAUGGCAGGAGCCACAGUGGGAAGGGGUGAGAGAGCGUGCUGGCCUCUCUCAGGAUCUGGACUGCGCCAGCCUGGUGUGCUCUACAACCCCUAGUCCUACAGAUGAAGAAAAUGAACCCAGAAAGGGGGAGAAUUCCCAAAUUCAGCAAGUCAGCAAACCUCUGAGUCCUGGUGUCACCUCCCAGUGGUCUAGGAGGCAGUGCUGGCGCUGGUGGGGUUGAGGCCCUCUGAGGAGGUCUUGGCCUCUGCCACCUCACACCUCGUUUGCUCCUACAGAUACCGCGUGGUGGUGGAGGGUGAGCGUGGGAACCGGCCCCACAUCUACUGUCUGGAGCAGUUGCUGCAGGAGGUGGUGAGAGGGGGAGGGGUGGGGCCUCGGGAGGCUUGGGGUGGGCUGGGUGUCCAAGGCCACGGCCACAACUGUGUCCACACCUUGGACUCAUCCCAUGCCCUCCUAGAUCAUCGAUGUGAGGCCAGCUGCCACUCGCUUCUUGCCACAAGGGACCAGGAUUGCAGCCUACUGGAGCCAGCAUGGUCCGAGGUGCUGAGCCAUCCCCGGCCCUCCUGGUGCCAAGUGCCAAGCGCCGCAGCCGGAAGACCAGCAAAGACACUGGGGAGGGCAAAGAUGGUGGCACGGCUGGGUCGGAGGAGCCAGGAGCCAAGGCCCGUGGGAGUGGGUGGAAACCCAGUGCCAAGGCCAGGGGUGGCCCGGUCCCCAGGGCAGGGGCGGUGGGCGGAGCUCCUUCGUGCAUCCAAACUCCGGGCUUGGGAACCUGUCGAAGUGCCUGCCUGCUGUCUGUAAGAACUCUGAGCCGAGUGCGGUGCCUCACACCUGUAAUCCCAGCGCUUUGGGAGGCCAAGGCGAGCAGAUCGCCUGAUGUCAGGAGUUCAAGACCAGUCUGGCCAACGUGGUGAAACCCCGUCUCUACUAAAAAUAUAAAAAUUAGCCGGGCAUGGUGGUGAGUGCCUGUAAUCCCAACUACGUGGGAGGCUGAGGCAGGAGAAUCGCUUGAACCUGGGAGCUGGAGGUUGCAGUGAGCCAAGAUCGUGCCAUUACACUCCAGCCUGGGCAACAAGAGCGAAACUCCAUCUCAAAAAAAAAAAAGAGAGAGAGAGAACUCUGCACCUGCACUGCAGGGCCGUUCUGACCAGGUGAUAGAUGAGGAAACUGAGGCUGAGGGAGGCAGGUUGGUUUGUCAGAGGCAGAGCUGAGCUGCAGCUGGCCUGUGUUUCUUUCCAGAAUCCAGAGAAAAAUGCUUCGUGCAGGCUGAAAAG